rnacentral:rRNA from 1 species
UACGGAGGGUGCAAGCGUUAUCCGGAUUCACUGGGUUUAAAGGGAGCGUAGGUGGGUUGGUAAGUCAGUGGUGAAAUCCCCCGAGCUUAACUUGGGAACUGCCAUUGAUACUAUCAGUCUUGAAUACUGUGGAGGUUAGCGGAAUAUGUCAUGUAGCGGUGAAAUGCUUAGAUAUGACAUAGAACACCAAUUGCGAAGACAGCUGGCUACACAAUUAUUGACACUGAGGCUCGAAAGCGUGGGGAUCAAACAGG